rnacentral:lncRNA from 1 species
GGUUCCUGCGGUCUCCUCCUGGCUGCCACCCCUGUCCGUCUCUCCGGGUUACUCUCCAGGGAGCCGGGAGCCGCUUCAGGUUGCAAUCUGCGAUGCAACGGCGCCUUUGUUUGACUCCAGCCUUGUUUUGCCUCAUACCUUAUCCUCCUAUUUAGAGUACCUCAGCACCUCAUGGGCUCCGCUUCACCAGUUCCUCAAUCAGUCAAUGCCUCUGACUUCUAGCCGCCAUCCCUCCCAGUGGAUACUUUAAGCAGGCAAGCAAACCAAACAAACGCCCAGCACGCUUGCAUGCAGCAAUCUCCGUUUUCCGGUCUUUGGUCGCAUGACUUGACCUCAGCGUAUCCCCUACACUUGAUCUUCACACACAGCUUCAUAGGUUAAGACACUUUUUUUCCAGAGAAAUCAUACUUUCUAUCUGCGAUUGUGGAACUGCGAUUGCUCUAAGCCCUUGAAAACAGUUUCCUCACCAUGAAAGCUUGGGCCAAAAAUUAGAAGUGAAACCCAGCCCUCCCUCUGUCUUCUACUCUUGGCCUACCUUGGCCCUAUACUUUAUCAUCCAUAAACCAAAACAGUCGCCUGGCCUGACAAUGUUUGAUCGGGGAAGUUUGAGUUGGGGAAUUAACCUACAACCUGACAGAAUGAGGCCCGCCCGUCUCUAACAGAGUUCAAAACCUCCUGAAGAUGAAAGUAACUUCAAAACUAACUCAGACCAUUUUAACGGUUUUGCUUACAAUUACCAGAACUACAUUUCUUUGAAAAUUUGAUUUAGCAAUCGUAAACAAGCUGUACUGUUUGCUGACUAUAGCGUAUCUACUGGCAAGUUACCAGUAUUAAUGUGUUGUCCAUAACAAACCUCGGAUUAAUGUUAUUGUUAAUCUGUUUAAUUGAAGAGUUUAACUUCAUAUCUAACUUCAUCUACUAUGAAAUCAGUUACCUUCAGGAAGCAGGAUUCCUCCUACUCUCCACUCACAUGAAGGACCAGUGUCUGUUUUGGAGGCAUGGAGUUGGAAAUGAGUUGGAGAGAUGACGGUAACAGUAGCUUCUAAAUAUGAACCUGAUGCUUAUACAACCAUUAUACCAAAAGUAAAGGUAGCUGUUUAAUUCCUUUCUGUGGAGCAUGGAAGAUUCUUUCUAUUUGCAUAUGCAAUAGGCCAUUCAUAGUUGAAUUUGAAUAUGUAAUAGGCCAUUCAUAGUUGAUAGCCUUGGGAAAAUGAACUAAUUUCUUUACAUCUGCAUAUCCUCUUAUAUAAAAGGGGAUACAAGCAUUCAACAUCCAAGGCUGCUAUGAGGACCAGGUGCAAAGAAGACCUUUUAACACAUAUUGACCCCUCCUCUGCUUCCUGAUUUUCUAAAUUAUCCAUUUGUAACACACUUAUUCUCUUAAGGUUGUCCUUGAUAUUUCUUUUUAGACUAAUUUUAUCUGCACAAUUUUAGGGACUAAAAAGGAGAAUGUACAACAUAGUUUGUCCAGAAACACGAGUAGAUGACUCUUCUUACAGUCAAAUUUUGUAGUCCAUAAAACAUGCAAAAUAUUUAGUCUAUGACAAUUUCAGAGCAAUGAGACACAGUAGAUUCAACCAUAAUUGAAAUCAAAAUAAUUACCACAGAGAUGUAUUAUUUUUUGCCAUAUCCUCAGAAUAGUAAAUCUUUUAAGGCAACUGUAGACACU